rnacentral:ribozyme from 1 species
AAAAAAGAACAACCAUCGAUGUGGCAACAUGUUAUAUAUAUUUACAUUCCUAUAUUCUACUAUUUAUCUUUCUUCUUCUUCAUUUCUUCAAAAUAAUCCUUGUCCGUUCCCAUUCAUACUUUGGGCAGCAUUGUUAU